GCCUCCAUGGAUCAAUGCAAGAUCGCCUUCGCCUUGUGAAGGACCGCCGACCGACGUUAGUCCGAAGGAGAUGUAGGUUCAAUUCCUACUGGAGGCA